GCAACCUACCCUUUACAGGCGGAUAGCUCGGGGAAACUCGAAUUAACCCGCCAUAAUAUAAUUGGAUGGCAUCAUUUGGUUAUUAAAUCUGAGGAGGUAAAGGAUGGGCAUGCGUCUGAUUAGCUAGUUGGUAGUGUAAUGGACUACCAAGGCGAUGAUCAGUAGGGGAACUGAGAGGUUGAUCCCCCACACUGGCACUGAGAUACGGGCCAGACUCCUACGGGAGGCAGCAGUAGGGAAUAUUGGUCAAUGGGUGAGAGCCUGAACCAGCCAUGCCGCGUGCAGGAAGAAGGCCUUCUGGGUUGUAAACUGCUUUUGCCAGGGGAUAAAAUUUCCUUGCGAGGAAAAUUGAAGGUACCUGGUGAAUAAGCCACGGCUAACUACGUGCCAGCAGCCGCGGUAAUACGUAGGUGGCAAGCGUUGUCCGGAUUUAUUGGGUUUAAAGGGUGCGUAGGCGGCCCUGUAAGUCAGUGCUGAAAUAUCCCAGCUUAACUGGGAGGGUGGCAUUGAUACUGCGGGGCUAGAGUACAGAUGAGGUAGGCGGAAUUGACGGUGUAGCGGUGAAAUGCUUAGAUAUCGUCAAGAACACCUAUAGCGAAGGCAGCUUACUAGGCUGUAACUGACGCUGAGGCACGAAAGUGUGGGGAUCAAACAGGAUUAGAUACCCUGGUAGUCCACACUGUAAACGUUGAUUACUCGCUGUGUGCGAUAUACAGUACGCGGCCAAGCGAAAGCGCUAAGUAAUCCACCUGGGGAGUACGCCGGCAACGGUGAAACUCAAAGGAAUUGACGGGGGCCCGCACAAGCGGAGGAGCAUGUGGUUUAAUUCGAUG
rnacentral:rRNA from 1 species